rnacentral:lncRNA from 1 species
UUUUUUAAUGUCCCGCUCCCAUUGUGAAACUAUUAAAAUGAACACUAAUAUUCAGAGAAUAAAACUAAUAAUUAAGCUAGCUUAAAAUUUGAAUUAAAAAUAUAUAUCAAUAAUUAAUUUAGUUUUAAAAGCAAAUGUUGUAGCCCAUCAACGAAAGUUGGGAAAAAUAAUUCAGAAUAGCAACUCUCACAUGCUGCUCAAAGUUCACCGAUUUGGUCAUGCGAACAUAAAAUCGUUCCUUAUUUUGGUUCAUUUAUCCAAGUCCAGCAAAACAAUUCAGUAAUUGCAUGUUAUAAUUCAACUCCCACGGAAGUAUUCAUACAACUGAC